rnacentral:rRNA from 1 species
AUUGAACGCUGGCGGCAGGCCUAACACAUGCAAGUCGAACGAGUGGCGGACUGGUGAGUAAUGUCUGGGAAACUGCCUGAUGGAGGGGUCUAACUACUGUAAACGUUAGCUAAUACCGCAUACCAUCAUAUGUGCCCACAUGGGAUUAGCUUGCUGGUGGGGUAACGGCUCACCAAGGCGACGAGCCAUAGCUGGUCUGAGAGGAUGACCAGCCACACUGGAACUGAGACACGGUCCAGACGCCUACGGGAGGCAGCAGUGGGGAAUAUUGCACAAUGGGCGAAAGUCUGAUGCAGCCAUGCCGCGUGUAUGAAGAAGGCCUUCGGGUUGUAAAGUACUUUCAGCGGGGAGGCGUUACCCGCAGAAGAAGCACCGGCUAACUCCGUGCCAGCAGCCGCGGUAAUUC